UUUCGUAUGUGACUGCAAGCUACACUCUAUUGCUUUUUCUGGUGCCUUAAUAAAUCCCUGUUAGUCUUCUUCCAUCACCAACCAUAGAUCCAAAUCUACACGCUUGUCCACUGUAAUGGAAGAGAGUGUAGUUUCCUUUGUUUUAGAUCACUUAGCCCAGCUUGUCGCAAGCGAAGUUAACUUGCUGUAUGGGGUGGAGGAUAGAGUCCAGUCCCUCCAGAGAGAACUUGAAAUGAUCAAAGAGCUCCUCAAUACCACAAGGAGAGAGAAGGGAAUGGAACAUAUAGUACUGAACCAUAUCAGAGAUAUGGCCUACUUAGCUGAGGAUGUAAUCGACACUUUCGUAGCAAAAGUUUUAAUUUACAAAAGGAGAACCAUUCUCGGGAGGAUGCUCCAUGGCUUUGGCCAAGCAAGGUUGCUCCACCGCUUAUCCGACAAAAUAGACUAUAUCAAAACCAUUCUCAAGGAAAUACGCGACAACAAAGACACAUAUGAUGCUUUCAGAGAAACCACUAAUGAAUCCGCAGCAGAAGAGGUGAGGGAAAGGUUGGAAUGGCUGCAGAGGCUAAGAAGAGAUGUGGAGGUAAAAGAUGUGGUUGGCUUUGUCCAUGACUCUGAGGUUGUCGUCAAGCGACUCCUGGGAGAUAGUUCAAAUCGUAAAGUCGUCUCUAUCGUUGGCAUGGGGGGAUUGGGAAAGACCACCCUUGCCCGAAAGGUCUUUAAUAACAGCCAGGUGAAGCACCACUUCUAUUGUCACGCGUGGGUUUAUGUCUCGAACGAGUGCAGAGUUAGGGAGCUUUUGCUUGGCCUUCUUAAACAGUUGAUGCCAAAUUUUGAACAACAAUGCGAAGGCAUUAAAAGCCCGAAUGAGGAAGAGCUAAAAAAUAUGGUGGAGAACUGCUUGGAGGGGAAAAGGUAUCUUGUGGUGGUAGACGACUUGUGGAAAAUAGAGGAUUGGGAUAAGGUGAAAGGUGCUUUUCCAGACAACAACAGAGGCAGCAGAAUAUUGAUUACUAGUCGUUCGAGAGAGGUGGCCACGCAUGCUGGUCUUGAUAUUCCUCACUAUCUUCCAUUUCUCAAUGAAGGAGAAAGUUGGGAGUUGUUUCGUAAAAAAGUGUUUAUCGAUGGAGAUUGCCCUUCUGAUUUGGAGCCUCUGGGAAAGCAGAUGGUUGAAAGAUGUUGUGGUUUGCCGCUCUCCAUCGUUGUUUUGGCUGGACUGUUGGCCAAUAAGGAAAAGUCACAUACACUAUGGUCUAAAGUGGUCGAUCAUGUUAAUUCGUAUAUCAAUCAAGAUAAGACCCAAGUGAAUGAUAUAGUUCUCAAGCUCAGUUAUGACAAUUUGCCAAGGAGACUAAAACCAUGUUUUCUCUAUCUUGGGUUAUUUCCUGAGGACUUUGAAAUACCUGUUGCGUCAUUAUUGCAAAAAUGGGUUGCAGAGGGUUUUAUACAAGAUACAGGAGAUAAAGACCCAGAUGAUAUUGCAGAAGACUACUUGUACGAGCUCAUCGAUCGCAGUUUGGUCCAGGUAACAAGAGUGAAGUUAAAUGGAAGUUUGGAGAAGUGUCAAGUUCAUGAUCUUCUUCGAGAUCUUUGCAUAUCGCAGAGCAAAAAGGACAAAGUGUUUGAAGUUUGCACAAACAAUAACAUUGUAGAUUCUACCAAACCUCGCAAACUGGCCAUUCAGAGUGACAUGCGUGACUACAUUUCUUCAAGCAAAAGAGACCAUUCAUGUGUCCGUUCCGUGUUUUUCUUUGGGACAAAUUAUGAUGAGUGGAAAUGGCCUUUGGACAACUUCAAAUUGGUUCGAGUGUUAGAGUUUGGACCUACCACUCGCCUAGAGAUCCCUUCCAAUCUGGGGAACUUCAUUCACUUAAGGUACUUGAGAAUUGACUCUUUGUUUCCUAAAUUUGUUCCAGAUUCAAUACUUAACCUUUGGAAUCUACAAACCAUAGACCUGGGUAUUUUCAAGAAUGGGCUUCAAGUUUCUUUCCCUGCUCAAAUGUGGAAACUUAAAUAUUUAAGACACUGGAAUUCAUCAGGGCCCAUCGAGUUGCGAGGAAGAUGUUUACAAUCAGUUGAGAAGAUGUGGAAUCUUCAAACCAUGUCUCCCCUUACACUCAAUAAGCAAGCAAUAUCUCUAAUAAGGAAUGGAACAUUUCCCAAUAUUAAGAGGAUGGGGUUGAAAGGGAGUCAUGAUUGUAAAGAUGAAUUACCCAAUUUACUGGAGAACCUAACACAAUUAAAGCAUUUGAAUACAUUAGUGAUUUUUCCCGAAGGUUUGCUUGAUUUCAAGCCCCAAGAACUGGUUCAAAGGUUAGGACAAUUCAAUCGUCUAACUAUUUUAGUAAUUGAUUGUGUUAAUCUUCUAACCUCUGAGCUCAUAUUUCCCCCAAACAUUAUAGAGUUAACUUUGUCAGUGAUUAAACGCAUUAGUGAUGAGGGGAUGAAUGGUGUGGGAAAUCACUCCAAACUCAAGAUUUUAACACUUUUGGGAUAUAUAAUGGAGUUUAAGGAUCCCUUUAACCUCAAUUGUGUCGGCUUCCCAAAGUUGGAAGUGUUGCAAUUGAAAUACUUGCCACUUCGAAAUUGGAAAUUAAGCAAUGGUGCAAUGCAGAAGCUUCAACAUGUAAUUAUCUACUGUUGUGAACCAUUGGAUAAUCUCCCAAUUGAACUCUGUUCUUUGAAUGGAUUGAAAAAAAUGCAUAUACAAGACUAUAGGACAAAAGUGAUUGAACAAAUGGUGACAUCUUACGAAUAUUGGAAACAAAUAAUAGAGUUGAAGUCCUUAGAGAAUAUGCUUCACCUUGGGCUGAUGCAUUAGUUGCGCCUAUUAUAUAUGAUUAGUAGCUCAUUUGCCUUCCAUGUUUCAUUUGCCUUCGUUUCAUGUCUUUUAUUCUUCCUUUCUUUCUACAAGUUUACAGUCAGUUUUUUAUUUUUAGUUAUUUGAAAACAAUGUUUGGUCUUGUUUUUUUACUAUGUGGAAAAUAAAAGGAAACAUGGAAAUUACAUCUUAGUUUAUCAUUUUAUUGUUUAUAAAAUAAUGAUUAAGAGAUUUAAUAUAUUGAAAUCUCUUAAAAAGAAUUAUAAUAAUCUGAUUAGAAUGUCUAUAUUCAGUUAUUUAAUAAAUUAAAAAUGUUUAAAUUUGUAAGAAAUUAAAAAUUAAUUACAUUUUUUUCUUAAUAUAAUUAUCAAUCACGGGCUUUUCAUCCUUCUGAAUUAAAAGUUGGGAAGAAGCCAAAUUUGCUUAUAUAUAUUUAUUGAUUGGCAAAGUGGAACUUAGAAAUUUAAGUAGCAUGGAGCUAAAAAUUUAAACAGCGAAACCCCCAAAAUUUGAUUAGUAUAGAAUCAAAGUUAUAGAGAAACUAUGCUUCUUUUUAAAACAAUCAUAAAUUCAUAAAAGACUGCAAAUAUUUAAGCUCAAUACAAGAGAAACGAGUCAAAGCUGAAGCUUAAUUGUACAUACAGAUUUUAUAAAAAUUCAGUAAACAAAUUAAUUAAUUAAAAUUUGUAUGAUUUUUAUAUUUUAUUGAUUUUUCUUUUACUUUCUUCUUAAAAUUUCAGUUAAAUACUUUAUUGUAAUCUUAAAACUAUUUACCUUAAUUAAUUUUGAAAUCCAUCAUAAAUUUAUAUAUUUUUAAUUAUGUAUCUAUUGAAUUAAUUAUUAUAUAGUCGGUACUUAAAAUUUUUAUAUUUUGCAAUUGAGUUUGCAUUUAUUUAAUUUUUUUAUAUUAUUUGAGAUGUGCAAUUAUUAUUUUUUCAAUAUUAUGUAUUUUCACAUGUUAAUAGAAAAUGAUAAACUUUCAUUGAAAAUAUGGGUACUACUACAUUAGUAGCAAUAGUUGUGAUUAAUUACAUGGAUGAUCACAUGUAAAUCAUUAUGAAAAUAAUAUUUUUUUAAUAAGUAUAUAGUAAAAACAUUUCUUUCAAUUUUAACGUAAUACUAUUUGAUACCAUAAACGUGUAUACUUUUUCAAAGAAAAGGUUUCAUACCAGAAAAUAAAAUUAUAUAACUUCAUACAUAGUUGUGUGAAGAUCAUAGACUUCAUCCUUUUUUUUUCUGAUUAUUAAUUAAUACAAUUUAAAUAUUAAUAAAUAUGUUUAUUAUUUUAAUUUUGUUGAAGAGAUCACUUUAUUUUUUAAUAUAUUAAAAUUUUUAAAAUAUAACAUUCUUAAUAUUUUAAUCUUGUUUUGAUAUCUUUUACUACCUUAAAAUACUACCAUCAAAAAGGUAAAAAAUAAUAAAAAUAAAGAAGAAGUCUAUAAUAGGGUUAAAAUUAAAUAACUAUUUUAUGUAACUUUUGGUGGAAAUUUUGAGAAUGAAUAUUUCACAAAAGUGAUUAGGAAUCACAAAAUAAAUCAAUUGGAUUUAUAUCUGUCCGUUAUAAUUAAUUUCUUUUUCUUUGGAAUUUAUUUGGCAAACUUCCGUAGUUUAUUUUGAACUAAGCAAGGGAUUCUUAAAAAGAAUAUAUUUGCAUAUGUUUCGGGAUUUGAACAAUUUAUGAGUUUUAUUUUCAAAAUAACGUUUAUGUUUUGGUGUGUUAGAUUAUCUUUGUGUUUAUUUGUAUUUGUUUUUUUUUAUUAUUACAAUGACAGUGUUCUUUACAUGGAAAAAAGAGAUAUACAACAGUGUAUUGGUUUGAUUUGCAAUUUGUCUGUCAAAAAUGGGACAGAAGGAGGUACGUGCUUUAGAAAACUCGUCUUGUCUUGUGAAAUGUAGGACGGUGGUGUUUACCCACCAACAUUUUUUUUAAUUUUAUUAUAUAUAUAUAUAUAUAUAUAUAUAUAUAUAUAUAUAUAUCCCAAUUUUAUAAAAAUUCAAUAAACAAAAAAGUUUAUUAAAACUUGUUUGCUUUUUAAUAUCUAGUGAUUUUUUUACUUGUCUUAAAAUUUCAUUUAAAAAAUUGAUAUAAUCUUGAUUGAACUUGUACUGUCAUAAUGGUAAAUAUUUUAAGCCGAAUGAGUGGUAGAAAGUGUAAUGCUACGUGAAAUCUUCAAACCAUCUAUGGUCUUCUAUUCAAGAGACAAACUGAAAUUGUUGAAUUAACGUAUUACAUUGUAAAGAUCUAAUUUUAUCCCUUAUUUAAUUUUGCACUUUAUUUAAUCGUGUCCCUUAAACUCAUGUCAUUGUUAUUUUAUAUACUGACAUUUUAUUUUUUAAGAGUGAACAUAUAAUUUUUUCCAUUUUUUCAUAUUAAAUUAUAUUAUUUAUACUAAUUUAAAUAUACUAGUAUUUUUCUUGUAAAGUUGUUUGUUAAAAUGAAAUGAACUGACGUGUUUUUAAACGUCCUCUUCUUUUACGUGUUAUUUGAUAUGUAAUUAUGAGUAAAAUUAUUUUAUGUGAAAGCCAUGCAAACAUUAAAAUGAUAUUGUUGGGUGUAAAAAGAAUUCUCACAUAACGAAAAAUAUAGUUGAUUAAUUUGUGGAAUAGUAUAUAUAUAUAUAUAUAUAUAUAUAUAUAUAUAUAUAUAUAUAUAUAUAUAUAUAUAUAUCAUAGAACUAAUGUAUGAUGUUAAUGAAGUAUUAGAUGAAGUUGAGCUUGUAACUGUCUACAUUAUCUUUAUUCUCUAUAAAUCCAAAUUGGAUAAAACACAAAAUUACAAAGACAAUAAACCAUGUGUCACAAUUUAAUAUAGAUCAAAAUUGUAUUUAAAGUAUAGAAAACGGAGGUUGGAGUGGCGUGUUUGUAAUUUGAUAUAAACAAGUUUCUGUAUAGAUUAACCACUCACAGAAUGUGUUAAAAGAAACAAAUCAGUCUCUUACAUAUAUUAUUCUAUUACGUCUAACAUAAUAAAUAUAAAUAUUCUAAGGUAAAUGAAUACAAGUUGCAAAUGCAGGAAGGUGUGACUAACAUGACCUUUAUAUAUAUAUAUAUAUAUAUAUAUAUAUAUAUAUUAAAAAUAUAUAUAUAUAUAUAUAUAUAUAUAUAUAUAUUAUAUAUGAAAGAGUUUGAUGAUUAUAUUUAAUCACAAUAAAAAAGAAUUUAACUACUACGGAAUUGAAUAACGUGAAAUCUAAUUUAAAAGAUGAAUAUGUGUGUACAUAUAAUACAUAUAUAGAUGACAUGACAAAGAAUAAUAAUGACUCAGUAUGAUUUGAACUUGUUUCAAUGUUUAUCUGAAGAUGUGAUAUAAUAAUACUUCUUAAAGCUUACCAUUGUGUUGUUGUCAAUGUGAUCAGUGGAUGGAUAUUUUGGAGCUACCUUUGGAGGUGUGUAUAUAAAUAGAUGUAACAUCAAGACCUUCUUUUAUGUUUAUUUUGUAGACUAUACCUUCGUGUAUAUACUUUUCUAUCAAAAUAAUUAACUAUAAGGAAAAAACAUAUUUCAGUACUACAUAUUUAAAUAAAAAUGUUUAAAAAUUUUAAAAUAAUAAAGAGAAAUACGUUGAUGAUUUAAGAUUGUUUAUACAAACUAAAUUGAAACAAUCAUAUGAAAUAAUAAAAAUAUUCUUAAUGAAACAGUGCACAUAACAGGAAGGUGUCUAACUACUGAGAGUAUGCACUUAAUAUAUUCUCUGUCAAUCUCUUACACACUCUAUAUUUUUAUUAUUCUAUUCCAUUUUAAAACGAGGAAAAAUUGAACCCAGUUGUACUGUCAUAAACAUAAAUAUUCUGAGCCAAAUGUGCACUUAGCAAACUUUGAAAAUUAAAUAUUGUAUCGUAAUAAAUAUUUAAACUUUGAAAAUGAAUUGUGUCAUUAUGCACUUAAGGGGAAGCUUCAGCUGAACCGCGUUCAUAGUUGACGCCAAGUAAAUGGAAAAAUAAAACCUCAAGUCUUCACCCACAGCCUUUGUAAAUUCUUUAUCGCAAUCAUUUUCCAUGAUAUAUAUUUGGACAUUCUUUCGUAUGUGGCUGUAAGCUACACUGUAUAUACUGCUUUUUCUGGUGCCUUGGUAAAUCCAUGUUCCUUUUCCAUUUUCAUUAAUAUACACUGUAUAUUAAUGUUAUUAAUGUAAAAUUGACUCAAUAUGUCACAAUUAAUAGAUAAAAAUUGGCUCAAAAAAACUUAUAAACAAGGUGUGCAAGCCCUAAGAAAGCUUUUAACCCAUGUCCUACAGACCAACAUAAAUAUGCAUAUUGUCUUUUCAGCGAUGGAAAUUUUAAAAAUACAAUGAAACGAUGAAGGUAGGUUACACUUCCAAUACAAUGCUAACCUCUAAGCAGCUACAAUUAAUCAUUCUGUACUUCAUCAUCCAUAGCAACAUUCCCACCUCAAUCCAAGUCAGUCCUUCCUGAAACACAGAAAGCUCAGUUAUACCCAAAAUUCAGUAUGUGACAAUCAAAUCUUGUACUGCCAGAAAAAUCCAGUGACUUCAUUACAAGGAAAAAGAGAAUGAUUGAUGAUGCAUAACAAUAAAGAAUGAAAGAUUAUUGAUGCGGAUAUAGAACAAGUGGCUAUAUAGAAUCGAAAACAUUAAUACUUACAUGAAGACGAUGCACAUCAUAUAAAAUACCAAAAAUUAAAACAAGGCUUAUCAAAUAUAAAGGGAAAAGGGAAAACACCAAAUAAAAUUAAUUGAAUUCCUGGUAUAAGCUAAAGUAACUUACAAACUUAAUUUCCACAGAACCUAUCUCUUUUAACUUUUAUAAAACCUAAAAUGCAUAAGUUGAUUUUAGCCAUUAAGAUAGGUUCAAUUCAUUUUAUCUUCUUAUCCGUUCUUAUCGAAACUUAGUUGCCAACUUUAAAUGGCCCUACCUUGUUAGUAAUUGGGCAAAUGGGUACAGAAAGUUGCCAACUAAGUUUUUGUAUUAUUGUGUUAGUAAUUGGAAAAAUGGCCCUAUCUUGUUUGCUUGUGAUCUUGUGAGUUUUCUAAAUAUAAAUAUUCUAAGGCAAAUGGAUAGAAGGUGCAAUGUACGAAGGUGCCACUUACAUAUAUAUAUAUAUUCUGUGCCAUCAAACACCGAGAAAACAAACUGAACACAGUACUGUCAUAAAUAUAAAUAUUCUAAGUCAAAUGGAUAAAAGAUGCAUUGCACAUAGCAGGAAGGUGUAAUGCAGAUAGCAGGAAGGUGCUACGCUACUCACAUUAUGAACUCACGGGGAAGGUUCACUUCAAAAGUAGCAUGAUAAAACUACAACUCUUGAAAGUCUUUAUAUAUUCUUUACAAUUGGAGCCACUUUUAAUAUAUACAUUUGAAUAUUCUUUUCUAUGCGAUUGCAAGCUACACUCUAUUGCUUUUUUCUGGUGCCUUAGUAAAUCCCUGUUAGUCUUCUUCCAUCACCAACCACGAACCAUUAUCCAACCACAGAUCCAAAUCUACACGCUCCUCCAUGCUGUAAUGGCAGACAGUGUAGUUUCCUUUGUUUUAGAUCACUUAGCCCAGCUUGCCGCACGCGAAGCUAACUUGCUCUAUGGCGUGGAGGACAGGGUCCAGUCCCUCCAGUACGAACUUCAAAUGAUCAAAGACCUCCUCAAUACCACNAAGAGAAAGAAGGGAAUGGAACAUACUGUAUUGGAUCAAAUCAGAGAUGUGGCCCACUUAGCUGAGGAUGUCAUCGACACUUUCGUAGCCAAAGUUUCCGUUUACAAGAGGAGAACCAUUCUCGGGAGGAUGCUCCGUGGCUUUGGCCAAGUAAGGUUACUCCACCACGUAGCUGACAAAAUAGACAAGCUCAAAACCACUCUCAACGAGAUACGCGACAACAAGAACAAAUAUGAUGCUUUCAAAGAAACCACUGAUCAAUCCGCAGUGGAAGAGGAGGAGAAGGAAAGGUUGCAAUUGCUGCACGAGCUAAGAAGAGACGUGGAGGAAGAGAAUGUAGUUGGCUUUGUCGACGACUCCAAGGAUGUCGUCCAGCGACUCCUAAGAGGUGGUUCAAAUCGUGAAGUUGUCUCUGUCGUUGGCAUGGGGGGAUUGGGGAAGACCACUCUUGCCCGAAAGGUCUAUAAUAGCAGCCAGGUGGUGAACCACUUCGAUUGUCAUGCAUGGGUUUAUGUCUCAAACGAGUGUAGAGUUCAUGAUCUUUUGAUUGACCUUCUUAAGCAUUUGAUGCCAAUUUUUGAACAACAACUUAGAGGCAACAAAAGCGCGGUAGACAUUAAGGACCUUAGUAAGGAGGAACUGAAGAAACAUGUGUGGAACUACUUGGAGAGGAAAAGGUAUCUUGUGGUGGUAGAUGACUUGUGGAAAAGGCGGGAUUGGGAUGAGGUGAAAGAUGCAUUUCCAGACAACAACAGAGGCAGCAGAAUAUUGAUCACUAGUCGUUUGAAAGAGGUGGCCUUGCAUGCUGGUGAUGAUGUUCCUCACCAUCUUCAAUUCCUUAGUGAAGAAGAAAGUUGGGAGUUGUUUUGCCGGAAAGCGUUUAGGGGUAAAAACUGCCCUUCUGAUUUGGAGCCUCUAGGAAAGCAAAUGGUUCAAAGUUGUCGUGGUUUGCCCCUCUCCAUCAUUGUCUUAGGAGGGUUGUUAGCCAACAAGGAGAAGUCAGAUAGAGAAUGGUCUAAAGUGGUAGGUCAUGUUAAUUGGUAUCUCACUCGAGAUGAGACCCAAGUGAAGGAUAUAGUUCUGAAACUCAGCUACGACAACUUGCCAAGGAGACUAAAACCAUGUUUUCUCUAUCUUGGGUUAUUUCCUGAAGACUUUAAAAUACCUGUUACGCCAUUAUUGCAAAAAUGGGUUGCGGAGGGUUUUAUACAAGAUACAGGAAAUAGAGACCCAGAUGAUGUUGCAGAAGACUACUUGUAUGAGCUCAUCGAUCGCAGUUUGGUCCAGGUAGCAAGAAUGGAUUUUAAUGGAGGUUUGAAGACAUGUCAGGUUCAUGAUCUUCUUCGAGAUCUUUGCAUAUCAGAGAGCAAAGAGGACAAAAUGUUUGAAGUUUGCACAAACAAUAACAUUCUACUCCGUACCAAACCUCGUAGACUGUCCAUUCACAUCGACACAGGUCACUACAUUUCUUCAAGCAAUAAUGACCAUUCAUGUAUUCGUUCCCUGUUUUUCUUUGGGCCAGGUUAUCAUGUUCGUGGGAGAGAGUGGAAAUGGCUUUUAGAUGACUUUAAAUUGGUUCGAGUGUUAGAGUUUGGACCUUACGACCGGAACAAGAUCCCUUCCAACUUAGGGAACUUCAUCCACUUAAGGUACUUGAGAAUAAAAGAUGUUUUUGUUUACUCUAUUCCAGAUUCGAUACUUAACCUUUGGAAUUUACAAACCAUAGACCUGGGUAGUUGGGAGGGUCUCAUGCCAGUUUCUUUCCCUAUUCAAAUGUGGAAACUCAAACAUUUAAGGCAUUUGAAUACACAAGGGCCUAUCAAGUUGCGAGGAAGAUGUUCACCAUCCUCAUAUGAGAAGAUGUGGAAUCUUCAAACCAUCUCUCUUGUACUAAAUAUGCAAGCAACAUCUCUAAUAAAGAAAGGAACAUUCCCCAAUAUUAAAUGGUUGAGGUUGAAGGAGGAAUAUGGUUUCGUAGGUGAAUUACCCAAUUUAUCACAGAACCUAGAAUUAAAUCAUUUGAAUAAACUACUGAUUUUGUCCCCUUUUCGGCGUGGUCACAAGCUACAAGAACAGCUUCAAAGCCUAGGACAAUUAAGUUGUUUAACUAUCUUAAUAAUUACUGAUGUUUUAGAUCUUUUAACCUCCACGCUCAUAUUACCCCCAAACAUUACAGAGUUAACAUUGUCCGGGAUUAAGUGCAUUACUGAUGAAGGGAUGAAUAGUCUCGCAAAUCACUCCAAACUCAAAGUUUUGAGACUUCGAGGAAAAGUAACGGCGUUUGAGGAUUCCGUUGACCUUAAUUGUGCCGAUGGGGGCUUCCCACAACUUGAAGUGUUUAAAAUGAGAGAUAUAAAACUUCGAAAGUGGAGAUUAGGCAAUUGUGCAAUGCAGAAGCUUCAAAAUGUGUUUAUCCUGGAUUGUCGACCAUUAGAUCAUCUCCCAACUGAACUUUGUUCUUUGAAUGAAUUGAGAGAAGUGCAUAUAACGGAAUAUCCCUCAAAACAAAUGACUCACAUCUUAGAAAUUUUGAAAACAAAUAAUGGAGUUCGAGUCAUUAUAGGAAUUUUUUCAACUCCAGAUGUUGAGUGGAGUCAUGUUAGUGGUGAGACGUAUGAGAUUUAUUAUUCAAAAUAGUUGGUUGUUUAUUUUAUGGAUGUAUUUUAUGGAUAUAUUUUAUAUAGAGUAAAAAAAUGUAUAAUGUAAAACAUAAGUGAUA
rnacentral:lncRNA from 1 species